UACGUAGGGGGCGAGCGUUGUCCGGAAUCAUUGGGCGUAAAGGGUGCGUAGGCGGGUUCUUAAGUCAGAGGUGAAAUCCUGGAGCUCAACUCCAGAACUGCCUUUGAUACUGAGAGUCUUGAGUACGGGAGAGGUGAGUGGAACUGCGAGUGUAGAGGUGAAAUUCGUAGAUAUUCGCAAGAACACCAGUGGCGAAGGCGGCUCACUGGCCCGUUACUGACGCUGAGGCACGAAAGCGUGGGGGAGCAAACAGGG
rnacentral:rRNA from 1 species